rnacentral:rRNA from 1 species
CCUGCUAGUCGCACGAACUUAGAUUCGUGGCGGAAAGCUCAGUAACACGUGGCCAAGCUACCCUGUGGACGGAAAUACUCUCGGGAAACUGAGGCUAAUGUCCGAUACAGCUUCCAUCCUGGAAUGGAGGAAGCUCGAAACGUUCCGGCGCCACAGGAUGCGGCUGCGGCCGAUUAGGUAGACGGUGGGGUAACGGCCCACCGUGCCAGUAAUCGGUACGGGUGAUGAAAGUCAGAGCCCGGAGACGGUAUCUGAGACAAGAUGCCGGGCCCUACGGGGCGCAGCAGGCGCGAAACCUUUACACUGCACGACAGUGCGAUAGGGGGACUCCGAGUGCGAGGGCAUACAGUCCUCGCUUUUCUGUACCGUAAGGUGGUACAAGAAUAAGGGCUGGGCAAGACCGGUGCCAGCCGCCGCGGUAAUACCGGCAGCCCAAGUGAUGGCCAAUUUUAUUGGGCCUAAAGCGUCCGUAGCUGGCCAGACAAGUCUGUUGGGAAAUCCACAUGCUUAACAUGUGGGCGUCCAGCGGAAACUGUCUGGCUUGGGGCCGGAGGACUCGAGGGGUACGUUCGGGGUAGGAGUGAAAUCCCGUAAUCCUGAACGGACCACCGGUGGCGAAAGCGCCUCGAGAGGACGGACCCGACAGUGAGGGACGAAAGCCAGGGUCUCGAACCGGAUUA